rnacentral:tmRNA from 9 species
GGGGUAGUUCCGGAAUUCGACAGGUUAUUACAAGCAUGGAUUGCGUUCCCGUUUGUCGGGUUAAAGACUGCAGAUAUAACUGCAAAAAAUAAUGAACCAUCUUACGCAUUAGCUGCCUAAUCGCAGUAGCGUAGCCCUUUGUUGAGUCCACGGCAACAUUCUCGGCCUAAUUAGUGGAUUAGCUGCUGGCAUUUAUGUUCGGAAUAAAAGCAGUGAAACAAGAAUCGAACUAGCUCUCGAUUUGGAAGUUAGCAACCUAAUCUUGAGCGAAAUUACUUGUUAACUAUGAGCGUAGAUAUUUAUGUGAUUGGAUAAUUUGGACAUGGGUUCGACUCCCAUCUACUCCAUAU